GGGUAUAUAGCUCAGUAGUAGAGUGUAUGCUUGGCAUGCACAAGGUCCUGGGUUCCAGUAUAUCCA
rnacentral:tRNA from 1 species